rnacentral:rRNA from 1 species
GAUGAACGCUAGCGGCAGGCCUAACACAUGCAAGUCGAGGGGUAACAGAAAAGCUUGCUUUUGCUGACGACCGGCGCACGGGUGCGUAACGCGUAUGCAACCUACCUCAUACUGGAGAAUAGCCCUUGGAAACGAGGAUUAAUACUCCAUAGUAUCAUAAUUUCGCAUGUUUUUAUGAUUAAAGAAUUUCGGUAUGAGAUGGGCAUGCGUCCCAUUAGCUUGUUGGUGAGGUAACGGCUCACCAAGGCAACGAUGGGUAGGGGGCCUGAGAGGGUGACCCCCCACACAGGUACUGAGACACGGACCAGACUCCUACGGGAGGCAGCAGUGAGGAAUAUUGGUCAAUGGAGGCAACUCUGAACCAGCCAUGCCGCGUGAAGGAUGACGGCCCUAUGGGUUGUAAACUUCUUUUAUAUGGGAAGAAACUUAUCUACGUGUAGAUAACUGACGGUACCAUACGAAUAAGGAUCGGCUAACUCCGUGCCAGCAGCCGCCGCCGUAAGAC